GAGUUUGAACCUGGCUCAGGAUGAACGCUGGCGGUGUGCCUAACACAUGCAAGUCGAGCGAAGCACUUUAAUUUGAUUCUUCGGAUGAGGAUUUUUGUGACUGAGCGGCGGACGGGUGAGUAACGCGUGGGCAACCUGCCUUACACAGGGGGAUAACAGUUAGAAAUGACUGCUAAUACCGCAUAAGACCACAGUACUGCAUGGUGCAGUGGUAAAAACUCCGGUGGUGUAAGAUGGGCCCGCGUCUGAUUAGGUAGUUGGCGGGGUAACGGCCCACCAAGCCGACGAUCAGUAGCCGACCUGAGAGGGUGACCGGCCACAUUGGGACUGAGACACGGCCCAGACUCCUACGGGAGGCAGCAGUGGGGAAUAUUGCACAAUGGGGGAAACCCUGAUGCAGCGACGCCGCGUGAGCGAUGAAGUAUUUCGGUAUGUAAAGCUCUAUCAGCAGGGAAGAAAAUGACGGUACCUGACUAAGAAGCCCCGGCUAACUACGUGCCAGCAGCCGCGGUAAUACGUAGGGGGCAAGCGUUAUCCGGAUUUACUGGGUGUAAAGGGAGCGUAGACGGCGGUGCAAGCCAGAUGUGAAAGCCCGGGGCUCAACCCCGGGACUGCAUUUGGAACUGUGCUGCUAGAGUGUCGGAGAGGCAGGCGGAAUUCCUAGUGUAGCGGUGAAAUGCGUAGAUAUUAGGAGGAACACCAGUGGCGAAGGCGGCCUGCUGGACGAUGACUGACGUUGAG
rnacentral:rRNA from 1 species